rnacentral:rRNA from 1 species
GUGCCAGCCGCCGCGGUAAUACGUAGGGUGCGAGCGUUGUCCGGAAUUACUGGGUUUAAAGGGUACGUAGGCGGCUUGAUAAGUCUGGUGUGAAAUUUUGUAGCUCAACUAUAAAAGUGCAUUGGAUACUGUCAAGCUAGAGUUAAGUAAAGGCAACUGGAAUUUGAGGUGUAGCGGUGAAAUGCAUAGAUACCUUGAGGAACGUCAAUUGCGAAGGCAGGUUGCUAGGCUUUAACUGACGCUGAUGUACGAAAGCGUGGGUAGCAAACAGGACUAGAUACCCUGGUAGUCCACGCCGUAAACGAUGAUUACUCGGUGUAUGUCUAUUAUAGAGAUGUGUGCCUUAGCGAAAGCGUUAAGUAAUCCACCUGGGGAGUACGUUGGCAACAAUGAAACUCAAAGGAAUUGACGGGG